rnacentral:lncRNA from 1 species
CUUAGGGUGCUCCAAUGUUGUUCGUGAAAAACAAGGAUGGUUCCCUCAGACUCUGUGUGGACUACCAGGAACUCAACUAAGUGACCGUUAAAAGCAAGUGUGACAUCCCAAGUGCUAAUUAAGGCAAAUGGGUGUCAGAUACAGAUAUAGAAUAACAAAUGCAUGAUAAAAUUUAUGCAGCGGAACAAAAUUAUUAUAAAUCCCUUACAAAUACAUAUAAAUUCUAAUACAUACAUAUAUUGAGUCCAGAAGUGGCUGCAAAAUACAAAACAAAACAUAAGGGUCACUCCUUUCACUAUGCUAUUGGACUCAUUAGAGUGCGGAAACAGUCAUGCACUGGAUCUACAAGAUCUUCAUAGACUUCUAAGGGUAGGUCAGCCUGUGGUUCCUCACUUUCUUCC